UACGGGGGGGGGCAAGCGUUUGUUCGGAAUUACUGGGCGUAAAGGGCUCGUAGGCGGCCAAUUAAGUCGGACGUGAAAUCCCCAGGCUCAACCUGGGAACUGCGUCCGAUACUGGAUGGCUUGAAUCCGGGAGAGGGAUGCAGAAUUCCAGGUGUAGCGGUGAAAUGCGUAGAUAUCUGGAGGAAUACCGGUGGCGAAGGCGGCAUCCUGGACCGGCAUUGACGCUGAGGAGCGAAAGCCAGGGGAGCAAACGGG
rnacentral:rRNA from 1 species